rnacentral:sRNA from 1 species
UUAGACGAAUGUUGACUUCUAUAGUUUGCUCAUCGCAAAAUCUUAAAAAAUAGAUGAAAAGAAAUAAGAAUAGAAUAGGAGAAAAAAAAUCUUUCUGUUGAAAAAUCAUCGGGAAAACGAAAAAUUUAUUUAUUGUGUACGGGUGCUAGUGUAUAAUCCUACACUUUGUUAUUGCAUAUAAUUCUAAGUAAAUUAAACAACUGGAUAUAAACGAAAUAAAUAGACUUUCUCCCAUUUGUUAUUGGGCUCUGCAGUAAAAAUCAACAGGCAGGCUAUGAUGAUUAAGCCACACCACCACCAGAGAUGUAGAUGCUCCAAUAAGAUAAACAUUGCGUUCUGUUGUUUGUUGGAGUUGUUGCAAUGCGAUUUGCUAGUUGUCAUUUGUCAAUGAUUUUGAUGUUAUUGUUUGAUGUUCUUGCGAUUUCCGUAUGGGGGUUAAUGUUAUCUGUGAGUUCAAGGCUUAAUAUUGUUGUUUAUUGAAAAACAACAAUAAAAUAAAACGAAUAGCAAUGUUCGGGUUUACUAAUUAUUAUACAACUA